GUGAGUCAUCGAAUCUUUGAACGCACAUUGCGCCCGCCAGUAUUCUGGCGGGCAUGCCUGUCCGAGCGUCAUUUCAACCCUCGGAAGCCCCUUUAGGGGGGCCUCCGGUGUUGGGGAUCGCCCGCCGCCACGGUGGACGUCCCCUAAAACGAUUGGCGGUCUCGCUGUAGCCUCCUCUGCGCAGUAGCACUUGUUCUCGCAGGCGGAGCGCGGCGCGGCCCAGCCGUAAAACCCCCAACUUUUACCAGGUUGACCUCGGAUCAGGUAGGAAUACCCGCUGAACUUAAGCAUAUCAAUAAGCGGAGGA
rnacentral:misc_RNA from 1 species